CCUACGGGUGGCAGCAGUGAGGAAUAUUGGUCAAUGGACGAGAGUCUGAACCAGCCAAGUAGCGUGAAGGAUGACUGCCCUAUGGGUUGUAAACUUCUUUUAUAUGGGAAUAAAAUGUUCCACGUGUGGGAUUUUGUAUGUACCAUAUGAAUAAGGAUCGGCUAACUCCGUGCCAGCAGCCGCGGUAAUACGGGGGAUCCGAGCGUUAUCCGGAUUUAUUGGGUUUAAGGGGAGCGUAGGUGGAUUGUUAAGUCAGUUGUGAAAGUUUGCGGCGCACCCGUAAAAUUGCAGUUGAAACUGGCAGUCUUGAGUACAGUAGAGGUGGGCGGAAUUCGUGGUGUAGCGGUGAAAUGCUUAGAUAUCACGAAGAACUCCGAUUGCGAAGGCAGUUCACUGGACUGCAACUGACACUGAGGCUCGAAAGUGUGGGUAUCAAACAGGAUUAGAUACCCGGGUAGUC
rnacentral:rRNA from 1 species